GGGGAGGGUUUCAGUCUGCGUGCCCGGAACUGGAGCUGGGUGUGAAUCGUGAGGCGCCUGACACCUAGAAGGCACUGGGCUGAGGAGAGGAGGAGGAAAGAAAGUGGAGGCCAGGCGGCCGGGACGGGACGCGGUCUCUCCUGGGACCUCUGCCGCCCAGGCGCCUCGGGCCACAGGGCAACCUCGCUGCUUUCCCCGUGCUGUUGCAGGACGAUCGCGUGCACAAGGAGGCGCCCUCGGCCGCCCGGGAACCCCAGGGCAGCCCGGGCCGCGGCGCCUCCGCAGUCUCCGUGUGCACUGGGGCUGCGGCCAGCAAGCGGCGGCGAACGUCCCGUGAGAACGGAAGAUGCUCGGUCGGGUUGGACCCGGCCUGGGCGCGAUGCCCCGGUUCCCUUCUGCCGCCACCGCCCCCCAACCCCGCCCGCCUCGCCCGCCUCGCGGUCGCCAUGGCAACCUCCGCGUGCCGAGCUUUCUCCCGGUGUGAUCAGGCCCGGAACCGUCUGGAACCCGCAGUGCUGACCGUUUCCUGCCGGAAGGAAACGCUGCUGGCCGUCGGAUCUGGGUUCCCCGCCACCCUGCUGACUCCUUCGGCCUCGGGGGCUGUGGGGCUGCAAGCUCUCAGCCGGCCCGGCCCACGUCCUGCUAGCUGCGUCCUGGCUUCCCGCAGUCUCCAAACUGAAAAUGUCCAACAUCUUUCUUCUGGCUUUCAGAAGCAUAGCACACCAUUGUCCUCCAUGGUCGCCCUGCUGUCCUUGCUACACCAGGCAACCGGGAGAAUGGCCAGAAAGUGAAGUCUUUGCACCCUGAGGCUAAUAUCACAUUGCUCUGCGGAGAUGGAUUCAGCCCAGAUUUUCCCCACUAACACAUAAUGAGAUUGAAAAGAGAAAAGUCUUGGUGACUCGCUGAAGAUCCAGUGGGCAGUUACUGAAG
rnacentral:lncRNA from 1 species